rnacentral:rRNA from 1 species
AGGAUCAACGCUGGCGGCGUGCCUAACACAUGCAAGUCGAACGAGAAAGUGGAGCAAUCCACGAGUAAAGUGGCGCACGGGUGAGUAACACGUGACUAACCUACCUUUUAGUGGGGGAUAACCUAGGAAACCUGGGCUAAUACCGCAUAAUACCUACGGGUCAAAGCAGCAAUGCGCUGAAAGAGGGGGUCGCGGCCGAUUAGCUAGUUGGCGGGGUAAUGGCCCACCAAGGCGAUGAUCGGUAUCCGGCCUGAGAGGGCGCACGGACACACUGGAACUGAAACACGGUCCAGACUCCUACGGGCGGCAGU